rnacentral:tRNA from 1 species
UCCCUCCUAGCUUAGUCGGUAAGGAAUCUGCUUGCAGUGCAGGAUCCCUGGGUUCAAUCCCUGGGUUGGGAA